GACGAACGCUGGCGGCGUGCUUAACACAUGCAAGUCGAACGGUGACGAGGAGCUUGCUCCUCUGAUCAGUGGCGAACGGGUGAGUAACACGUGAGCAACCUGCCCCAGACUCUGGGAUAACAGUUGGAAAACAGCUGCUAAUACCGGAUACGAGACGGAGAGGCAUCUCUACCGUCUGGAAAGUUUUUCGGUCUGGGAUGGACUCGCGGCCUAUCAGCUAGUUGGUGAGGUAAUGGCUCACCAAGGCGACGACGGGUAGCCGGCCUGAGAGGGCGACCGGCCACACUGGGACUGAGACACGGCCCAGACUCCUACGGGAGGCAGCAGUGGGGAAUAUUGCACAAUGGGCGAAAGCCUGAUGCAGCGACGCCGCGUGAGGGAUGACGGCCUUCGGGUUGUAAACCUCUUUCAGCAGGGAAGAAGCGAAAGUGACGGUACCUGCAGAAGAAGCACCGGCUAACUACGUG
rnacentral:rRNA from 1 species